rnacentral:rRNA from 1 species
GACGUAGGGUGCGAGCGUUGUCCGGAUUUAUUGGGCGUAAAGAGCUCGUAGGCGGCUCGUCGCGUCGACCGUGAAAACCCGCGGCUUAACUGCGGGCUUGCGGUUGAUACGGGCGGGCUAGAGUUCGGUAGGGGAGACUGGAACUCCUGGUGUAGCGGUGAAAUGCGUAGAUAUCAGGAGGAACACCGAUGGCGAAGGCAGGUCUCUGGGCUGACACUGACGCUCAUGCACGAAAGCGUGGGGAGCAAACAGG